UACGAAGGGGGCUAGCGUUGUUCGGAAUUACUGGGCGUAAAGGGCGCGCAGGCGGUCCUUUAAGUCUGAUGUGAAAGCCCACGGCUCAACCGUGGAGGGUCAUUGGAAACUGGGGGACUUGAGUACAGAAGAGGAAAGCGGAAUUCCACGUGUAGCGGUGAAAUGCGUAGAGAUGUGGAGGAACACCAGUGGCGAAGGCGGCUUUCUGGUCUGUAACUGACGCUGAGGCGCGAAAGCGUGGGGAGCAAACAGG
rnacentral:rRNA from 1 species